UACGUAGGGGGCAAGCGUUGCUCGGAAUCACUGGGCGUAAAGGGCGCGUAGGCGGGAUGGCAAGUCGGUCGUGAAAUCCUUCGGCCCAACCGAAGAACGUCGGCCGAUACUGCCGUUCUUGAGGGAUGCAGAGGAGACUGGAAUUCCCGGUGUAGCGGUGAAAUGUGUAGAGAUCGGGAGGAACACCGGUGGCGAAGGCGGGUCUCUGGGCAUUUCCUGACGCUGAGGCGCGAAAGCGUGGGGAGCGAACAGG
rnacentral:rRNA from 1 species